UACGAGGGGGGCGAGCGUUGUUCGGAAUUAUUGGGCGUAAAGGAUGCGUAGGCGGUUUGGUAAGUCUUAUGUGAAAUCUACAGGCUCAACUUGUAGUCUGCAUGAGAAACUGCCGGGCUUGAGUAUGGGAGAGGUGAGUGGAAUUCCUGGUGUAGCGGUGAAAUGCGUAGAUAUCAGGAGGAAUACCUAUGGCGAAAGCAGGUAUCUGGGCCAUCACUGACGCUGAGCUGCGAAAGCUAGGGGAGCAAACAGG
rnacentral:rRNA from 1 species